rnacentral:rRNA from 1 species
GACAGAGGGUGCAAACGUUGUUCGGAAUUACUGGGCGUAAAGCGCGUGUAGGCGGCUAUGUAAGUCGGGCGUGAAAUCCCACGGCUCAACCGUGGAAGUGCACUCGAAACUGCAUAGCUAGAGUCCCGGAGAGGAAGGUGGAAUGCUUGGUGUAGAGGUGAAAUUCGUAGAUAUCAAGCGGAACACCGGUGGCGAAGGCGGCCUUCUGGACAGUGACUGACGCUGAGACGCGAAAGCGUGGGGAGCAAACAGG